GAUGAACGCUAGCUACAGGCUUAACACAUGCAAGUCGAGGGGAAACGACAUCGAAAGCUUGCUUUUGAUGGGCGUCGACCGGCGCACGGGUGAGUAACGCGUAUCCAACCUGCCCACCACUUGGGGAUAACCUUGCGAAAGUAAGACUAAUACCCAAUGACGUCUCUAGAAGACAUCUGAAAGAGAUUAAAGAUUUAUCGGUGAUGGAUGGGGAUGCGUCUGAUUAGCUUGUUGGCGGGGUAACGGCCCACCAAGGCGACGAUCAGUAGGGGUUCUGAGAGGAAGGUCCCCCACAUUGGAACUGAGACACGGUCCAAACUCCUACGGGAGGCAGCAGUGGGGAAUAUUGGUCAAUGGACGAGAGUCUGAACCAGCCAAGUAGCGUGCAGGAUGACGGCCCUAUGGGUUGUAAACUGCUUUUAUAAGGGAAUAAAGUGAGUCUCGUGAGACUUUUUGCAUGUACCUUAUGAAUAAGGACCGGCUAAUUCCGUG
rnacentral:rRNA from 1 species